GUGUCUUCGAUGAAGCAUCUAUGGUUAGAAGCUCAGGUCAAGUUCAGAAGUAGAAAAGGGUAGCAUUGAUAAACAGGUGGAGCUGCAAGAUGAUCAUGAAGUGAUCGAUGUGCAGGCACACACAGAAAAUCAAGUGGAGCGUGUAGAAGAUGUUCAGUUGGAUCUACGAAGAUUCAACCGCUUGAUGUUACAGAGCGUAGCAUCGUGAAAGAUCGACCAAGAAGGGUUGAUGUAAGGCCACCAAAGAGAUAUCACUUUGAUGAUAUGGUGGGUUAUGCACUUUAGGUUGCAGAGGAAGUGGAUGCGUCAUCCACUUACAUGGAAGUUGUUUCUAGUCCCGAGUCUGAGAAACGGCAUGUUGCAACAAGAGACGUGGAGUUUCAUUAGAAGAAUCAUACAUGGGAUCUGGUCACAUUACCAUCGGGGAGAAGGGAUGUUACAUGCAAGUGGGUCUUCAAGAUUAAGGAUGGAGCAUCACUGGCAGAAGGAGUUAAGUAUAAAGCUCGGGUUGUUGCAAGAGGGUUCAGCCAGAGAGAGGGAGUAGACUACAAUGAGAUGUUCUCACCUGUGGUCAGAGAUACUUUCAUCAGAGUGUUGCUAGCGCUGGUAGCACGCCAGGACUUGGAGCUUGAGCAAUUUGAUGUGAAGACAGUGUUUCUUCAUGGAGAGCUAGAGGAGAUAUACAUGACUCAGCCAGAUGGUUGUCGAGUUCCUGAAAAAAAUGACUAUGUGUGUACGCUUCAUAAGUCACUUUGUGGAUUUAAGCAGGCUCUCAGAGGAUGGUACAAGAGAUUAAACAGAUAUAUAAUCAAGUUGGGGUACAUCAAAAGUCCUUAUGAUUGGUGUGUCUGCGUGAGUAAGUUGAAGGAUGCAACAUUCAUAUGUUUGGUACUCUACGUGGAUGACAUGUUGUUAGCUGAAGAGAAGUGUGACAUCGAGAAGCUGAAGCUUCUGGGUUCUGAAGUUGAGAUGAAGGACUUGGGUGCAGCAAAGAAGAUUCUAGGGAUGGAGAUCUUCAGAGAUAGGGAGAAGGAGUUCUUGUCACAGAAGGCCUAUAUUAAUGAGGUGUUGACAAGGUUCGUGAUGUCUUCAGGUGAACAUAUCAGUACUUUGUGCACUGCAAAUGAUCAUCUCACCAUGUAUAUGGUUUAGCCCGUUGGGGCAUCUGGCCCGUUGAGGCAUCAUGCCCGUCGGGGCAUCUGGUCCGCAAGGACUUCUGGCCCGUUGGGGCAUCUGGUCCGCAAGGACAUCUGGCCCGUUGGGGCGUUUGGUCCGUUGGGACAUCUGGCCCGUUGGGGCAUCUAGUCCGUUGGGACGUCUGGUCCGUUGGGACAUCUGGUCCGUUGGAACAUCUGGCCCGUUGGGGCAUCUAGUCUGUUGGGACAUCUGGUCCGUUGGGACAUCUGGUCCGUUGGGACAUCCGGCUGAUGACGAACGUCUGCCUCUAGUUGAGCAUCUGGCCGUUAAAGGGUGUCUGGUUUGUCAUAGCAACACAUCUGGUCCGAAGGGACAUCUGAGGCAAAAAGAGCGAUGGUACAUUUGGCGUUUGAAGAACGCAUUUGGUACAUCGGGCGUUGAUGGUGCAUCGGGCAUUUGAAAGUGCAUAUGGUACAUUUAGCGCUGAUGGCGCAUCUGGUACAUCUGGUGCAGAGACACGCAUCUGGUACAUCUGGCACUUGAAGGUGCAUCUGGUACAUCUGUUAUUGGGAGGAUUCAAGUCAAUGUGGAGAUUUGUUGAUAUGCCUUGAAUCUGGAUGUUACAUCUAGGUGAUAGAUUACAUCAUGUACAUCAUACCGACUCGGUUGCAUCAAGAGCGUUGCAUCAAGUUAUUAUGGAUGUUACAUCUGAUCGUGGGCUUAGACCCAUGAGUCCAUAAAGUCUAGGGUUUUAGAUACGUGAUGCUACUAUAUAUAUCUUGUAUUCGAAGUAACUUUAAACUUGCACUUUGUAAGCUCAAUAUCGCCUCCAAUAAUAAGAUCUCUCUUUGCCCGUAGACGUACCUCUAGUGGUGAACCACGUUAAAUAUCUGUGUCGUAGUUACAUCGCUUUUAUUCAUCUGUUUCCGCAUCUAUUCCUUCUCACGUCCGUCACAACAGUUAUUGUUGCAGCAAAUUUACGAGUUACCACGUGUUAGUAUGUAAUUUGAGGAAAGUCUUGUUUGAUCUUGGAUGAGGUCUGCCUCUCAGAUGAGACCAAACUGAUACAACUCAAACAUGUUCAAGCUUCGGUACUGAUAAGAGUUUGAGUUUGUAUUAUUCUUUAGUUCAAUAUUAUGUUCUUUUUGUAGUCCAAAAUCUCACAUGAUUCUUUCAUUAAUCAAUGAAUGCCUUUUUGUAUAUUUCUGCUGGAUGUGUGUUUGGAGAUAAACCGACUCAACAGAGACACAAAGAGAGUGAGAGUCACUGUGGGUAAAAUUCCCUCUUUUAUCUUUCUCUUGACUUCACACAGAGAGUGAGAGUCACUGUGGUUACUAUUUUUAUUACAACAAGUCUUCGUACAACUUCUCUUUUAGGAAACUUUAUAUUCCCUUUUACAAUGCUCACUACUGAUCCAAAGAAUCAAAGUAAAGCUCUUGACAUCCUCUCUUUUGGCUUUGUCAGUGUGUUGGUUCUUCACCGUGUAGUUUUCACCGAGGGCCGAACAGAGACACCAUGUAAGAGUUUAGCAAACCCAAAGAAGCUCAGCUUCCCAUCUGUGUGUCUUAUCCAAUCAUGUAGAACCGAAUGUACUGUUAUAGCUGGUCCAACCCCAAGUUCCUGCAUACUCAGAAAACAACAUGUUGUCAUCUUUAAUAGGCAAAGAAAGCAAACACUGCUUAGCUUACAGAUGCGAGUUCUUCAAUAACGAUAGCUCUGUUUCCAUUCCUUUCAAACAGCUCAUAAGCAUGACGAAUGCUCUCUUCCCAACAAUCAAGCGACUCAUGCUGAUGAACGUUUAUAGCAGCUGCACAAAACUCUUCAAAGUCCAUUCCUCUGUGUUGAAGUCCAUUUAGCUGUAAAAAUGACAAGUCAUUGAUAAGAGGCAUUAUACAACCAAAACCGUUUAUAGUAUCUACUAAACGUUUCUUUACCAAAGCAAGAAACUCUGGGAUUCGAGUCUCCUUCAUUUCAUCUGUGGCAUUGCUUGAGAGUGACGAUCUAAUGCUUCCCAAAGUGAUGAAGCCAUCUUUGUUCGGUGAGAGGAAAGAAAAUUGAGUUUUCAGGUAAAUAAUCUCAUCAGUGAUUAGUGUCUUGGACAAUGCCUGUAGAAAGAAAGAACACAAUGGUCAGAAACUAGUCUUCAGACAAUGUUCUUCAGUGCUUAAAAACAUACCCUCAAAGCAGCUUUGCGCAAUGAAGAAGAUCGCAAGUAGGCCUUCAUCUGCCUAAAGAUCAAGAUAUCAAACGGUACAUUCAUAUCCCUAUCAUAACCACGGAUCCAAGGAUGCACUGUAAAAAAUAUAAAAAAGGAACUGUGACUACCAAGAGAGAAAAGACAUUAUAUCUAUAUAUAAAGAGGUAGGAACUGACUCAAGGCUUGGGAAGCUGACAUUCUUCUCCGGGGAUCCUUAAACAAUAACCGCUUAACAAAGUCUUUAGCUUCAGAGGACAAGAAGGGCCAAGGAGCUUCAUCGAAACUAGGGUCAGCUUUAAGAACAGCUCUGAAGAUUCCGGAUUCUGUUCUUGCCCAAAACGGACGGCUACCACAUAGUAGUAUGUAUGCUAUGACUCCAAUGCUCCAUACAUCUGCUUCUGUUGUGUAUGAUCUGUGUAGAACUUCAGGUGCUACGUAGUAUGCACUUCCAACUAUAUCGUUGAGUCUCUCAUCUUUUUCAAAUUAAAGAACACAAAAGACCAUUUUUUUAGUUUAUUAACCAUAAUAAAAAGAAAUACUCCCUCUUUUUCAGAUUAGUUGUCGUUCUAGAAUUUAAAAUUUGUUUCAUUUUAAAUGUAUGUUUUCAAUGCAUUUAAUUGCUAAUUUUUCCAAUUUUAUCUCUAUUCUUUUAGCUCUUUAAUUAACAUAAUAAAACAAAAUAAUGUAUUAAUUAAGGGUAAAAGAUGAAAUUAAAUGAUUUUUUAAUCUGUUUGAAAAAAAAUUAUUAACUACAUAUAAAAUGAACCGGAUGGAGUAGUUGACAUAGUUAAAUAUGAUUAUGAACCUGGUUUGACAAAAUCUGAUAAGCCAAAGUCUAUGGCUUUAAGCUGAGAGUUCUCCUCCUUGGAAGUGUACAAGAAGUUCUGAUGAUCAAAGAAAACAUUAAACAGAUAAUCUUCUUUCUGGUUCACACAAAAAAAAAAAACGGUGACUCACCUCUGGUUUAAGAUCUCUAUGAACAACUCCUUGGAGAUGACAAAAAGCUACAACGUUUAGGAUUUGUAUAAUCACUGGUUUUGCAUCAUCCUCUGAGUACUUCCCUCCCCUACAAAAAAAACAAUAUAAAACUUCAGAACCAAUCUCUAACCAUAUGUUUCCAAAUGCUUUAAACUUAAAAUAGCACACACCUUGCUAGUAUUCUGUCAAGUAGUUCACCGCCUUCACAUAGCCUGCAAAAUUCAAGUUACUUUAAUUCUUUAAAUCUAACUGAUUCAUCAGGUAACAAAAGUUUGCUUACUCCAUGGCAAUGUAGACGUUAGCAUUGUCCUCAAAUGCAUCAUAGAACUGAACCAGAUUCUUAUGUCCAGAUAAAGCCUGUAGAAUCUUCACUUCCCUUCUCACAUCUUCUAUAGCUAUUGCACUUGUCAUCUAACCACACAAUGAAUCAUAAGAAAAUUAUGUUUUGGAGUAUGCAAUCAUCAAAAAAAAGAAAGGGUUUAUUUUUUUUUUUACCUUAGAUUUGGGGAUGAUCUUAACAGCAACCACUUGACCUUUGAGCUCACCUUUCCUGAACUUAGCAGAGCAAGUAUACCCAAAAUGCCCUCGACCAAUCUCAUCCCCCAACUCCACUCUACUGUGGAAAUCCUUUGCAAAACCAAACCUUUUGUCCAGCCCUAGCUCCUCUCCCUCCUCCUGCGGCGGAGCCUCCGUCGCUUCCGCCGAUAAAGCAGCUUCCUUUUUGCCCUUCCUCCGCCGUAGCGCCGCGCGGAUGUGUUUCGCCGGAGAGGGAGGGUUGAACGCGCGCCGUAAUUGACGGAGCGGCGUGCUCGUCACGCUCUUGCUCUCUCCGCCGGUGACGUCACGGCUCUUGUUGCGGCGGUGGCGGGCAGGGCUAGGAGUGUAGAAGGGGAAGAAAGGAGAGGCCUUUGAUGCUGAAGGGGUGGGAUUGUCAAUUAGGGGAUAGUCGUUGCCGGGGAAGAAAGGGUUAUCAGGUCUGCCGGAGGCAGAGGGUUUGGAGGUGCAGCCUCCCAUGAUCUCCGGCGAAAGAAAAGGAAGUAACUUUGUUGAAGAAACAGAGUAAUGCUAUCUAUCAAAGUUCUGAUUUUUAGAGAGUGUAGAGAAGAGAGAUAGAGAGCAAAUAGAUCACAUGAGAAGUGAAACAGUUAAAGAAAUUGAAUUUUGAAUCUGAAAAUGGGGGUAGUGAUGAGAUCAUUUUUCUGCCACGUAUUUAUUGUCUUAAUUUAUUACGUUUUGUUAAACUUACGAUCUGUUUNNNNNNNNNNNNNNNNNNNNNNNNNNNNNNNNNNNNNNNNNNNNNNNNNNNNNNNNNNNNNNNNNNNNNNNNNNNNNNNNNNNNNNNNNNNNNNNNNNNNNNNNNNNNNNNNNNNNNNNNNNNNNNNNNNNNNNNNNNNNNNNNNNNAACUUCCUUGUGUUGUGCUGCGUCGGGUUAGCUGUGAGAUAGCAGGCUGAGAGAUUAUCACAAUAUAACUCCGGUGUGACUGAUCUCCAUCAGAAAAUCGAAUGUUUCUAAGCAUGAAUGGUGUCUUCGAUGAAGCAUCUAUGGUUAGAAGCUCAGGUCAAGUUCAGAAGUAGAAAAGGGUAGCAUUGAUAAACAGGUGGAGCUGCAAGAUGAUCAUGAAGUGAUCGAUGUGCAGGCACACACAGAAAAUCAAGUGGAGCGUGUAGAAGAUGUUCAGUUGGAUCUACGAAGAUUCAACCGCUUGAUGUUACAGAGCGUAGCAUCGUGAAAGAUCGACCAAGAAGGGUUGAUGUAAGGCCACCAAAGAGAUAUCACUUUGAUGAUAUGGUGGGUUAUGCACUUUAGGUUGCAGAGGAAGUGGAUGCGUCAUCCACUUACAUGGAAGUUGUUUCUAGUCCCGAGUCUGAGAAAC
rnacentral:lncRNA from 1 species